rnacentral:misc_RNA from 1 species
GAUGAAGAACGUAGCGAAAUGCGAUAAGUAAUGUGAAUUGCAGAAUUCAGUGAAUCAUCGAAUCUUUGAACGCACAUUGCGCCCGCCAGUAUUCUUGCGGGCAUGCCUGUUCGAGCGUCAUUUCAACCAUCAAGCCCCCGGCUUGUGUUGGGGACCUGCGGCUGCCGCAGGCCCUGAAAAGCAGUGGCGGGCUCGCUGUCACACCGAGCGUAGUAGCAUACAUCUCGCUCUGGGCGUGCUGCGGGUUCCGGCCGUUAAACCACCUUCAUAACCCAAGGUUGACCUCGGAUCAGGUAGGAAGACCCGCUGAACUUAAGCAUAUCAAUAAGCGGAGGA